GAACCUCAAAAUCCAAACUAUACUAGUACUUGGUCUUUGUGCUGGUGUAUAUCUAUCCUUAGAGCCGCCCACCCCUUGUUCUCUUCAUAGUAUCAUCCCAUAGGUUUCCUAGAAGAAACGUAGAAUAAUGUAGGGAGUUUGUGUCUUUCUUUCUUUCUUUCCCUUUUCUCUGUUGUUUCUGGCUAGGAAGAAUUCGAGGUUUCUCUGGUGCCUGCCUUAGUUUUGGCUUUCAAGCUUCGAGUAGCACAAGCUGCACUUUCAGGGUCUUUCUAUUGUAUAUGCAUCGCGUAUGAGGUCAUUAAUUCAUGCCCUAGAAGCAUGAGAGGAAACGGAGAUGGGAGGAAGGUUGAUGCCAAAGCCAAGGAGUUUGGCUUAGACAAAUUAAGAGGGAGAAUAUCAAGGCAGGCACAUAUACAAAUGGACCUAUGGUACGUAGCUCCCACCUACUGAUUUCCGAUUCCAAUUCCAUCCUAGCGUGCAAAGCGCUCGACACGACACAGAUUCUACUUCUUUCAUCGGAGUUCCCCUUUAAGACUUCAGUUUUAAUUCCAGCCCAGACUGUAAAAUGAUCAACACUAGUGCUUGCCCAUACCCUCCGCCGGGUCCGGGGCUAUUUCCUUUUGGAACUUGUCAUCGAGGAUGGUAAUACGGGGUAAACACCAACAUUGUUUUCUGGUUUUCUUGAGUACACAAUAUAUAUUAAUUAUGUUUCGGUACUCGAGUAUUAGGUUAUGCAUCUCUAUUCAGUAUUCAAAAGAUUAAAUACCCCUUUGCCAAAUGAAAAAGUUAAAUAUGUUACGUGUAUUGUGAUUUUGCGUCAAUGAAGAGUUCCCCCUUGAGCUUCAGAA